UACGUAGGGGGCAAGCGUUGUCCGGAAUUAUUGGGCGUAAAGAGCGCGUAGGCGGUCCGGUAAGUCGGUUGUGAAAGUCGGGGGCUCAACCCUCGGAUGCCGAUCGAUACUGUCGGGCUAGAGUCCGGAAGAGGCGAGUGGAAUUCCUGGUGUAGCGGUGAAAUGCGCAGAUAUCAGGAGGAACACCAAUGGCGAAGGCAGCUCGCUGGACCGCAACUGACGCUGAGGCGCGAAAGCGUGGGGAGCAAACAGG
rnacentral:rRNA from 1 species